rnacentral:tRNA from 1 species
GGGCACGUGGCGGAACCUGGUAGACGCGCUGGACUUAGGAUCCAGUGGGAUUAAACCCGUGGGGGUUCAAAUCCCCCCGUGCCCA